AAAAAUUUAAAAUAAGAAAUAUCAGAAAUUACAAUUUUAAAAAAGAAAGAAAGAAAUAGAUGAAAUAACCACCAAACAAUUGAGAUGACCCUCACGGGAAUUUAUUGGCGAGAUCUCUCUCUCUCUCUCUCUCUGACUUUCUCACUCGACUCACUUUGAAAACCCUAAAACUCACGAGCUAUCCUUCGCCGCUGGAUCCUCAUACGUUUGGUCAGAUUCUAUCUCUCGGCUCUUCUCUUUUGAGCUAGUCUUUUUGCGAGAUCAAGCUCAUGGCGUCCGACGACGACGACUCAGAUAUAAUUCGAAUUCCCGCGUUUGACAACUCAGAUUUAAUCACAAGGUUAAAGAGAACGACGCUCAUCGGUAGGAUUAUGAACCCCGAGGUUCAGAAUGUUGACUCACUGGUUAUAACGUUACCCAGACUCUAGAAACUAGAGGACCGAGUGAAAGGAGAUGAACUUGGGAUCAGGAACGUUCAGGUUUGAUUUCGAGAGAGAGGAAGAUCUUCUGGAGGUGAUGGCAAUGGAGCCUUUCAGUUUCAAUCACUGGAUGGUUUCGAUUGUACGCUGGGAACCCAUUAUACACAACGACUACCCAUCGGCCAUCACAUUUGGGUCAGGAUUGUUGGUCUUCCUCAGGAUCUCUGGACUGAUCAGAAUUUCCGGGUGAUUGGGGAUCAGCUAGGCACUGUUCAAGAAGUUGAUGAAGAGAACGCGAUGGUCAACGUGACUAUCGAUAGUACUAUGCCAUUGUGCUUCGAAAUGCCGAUUCAGUUUGAAACGGGUGGUGAGGAUGUGCUGGGUGAAGAUGGAGUACGUGAAGCUUUCCGGUUACUGUGCUUCUUAUUUCAGCCUUCGCCAUGAUGAAGAAUCAUAUAUUUUCCGAUCUCAUUCACCCAUUUACCUAUGUAUUUCUAAGUAGAGUAUUUAUCAAUGAAUUUGAGAAAACACACCCUUAAAGUAGAAUAUGUGUCUGCUAAUUUGUGAAAAAUACAGUAUCUUUUGGAUCAUAAAUUCUAACUCCUUCA